rnacentral:rRNA from 1 species
AUACAGAGGGUGCAAGCGUUGUUCGGAAUCACUGGGCGUAAAGGGCGCGCAGGCGGUUUGGUAAGUCAGAUGUGAAAGCCCAUGGCUCAACCAUGGAAGUGCAUUUGAAACUGUCAGACUUGAGUACUAGAGGGGAAAGUGGAAUUCCCGGUGUAGAGGUGAAAUUCGUAGAUAUCGGGAGGAAUACCGGUGGCGAAGGCGACUUUCUGGCUAGAUACUGACGCUGAGGCGCGAAAGCGUGGGGAGCAAACAGGAUUAGAAACCCCAGUAGUCC